AGCUCCAAUAGCGUAUAUUAAAGUUGUUGCAGUAAAAAAGCUCGUAGUCGGAUUUCGGGUCGGGCCGAGCGGUCUGCCGAUGGGUAUGCACUGUUCGGCGCGGCCUUCUUUCCGGAGACCGCGGCUACUCUUAACUGAGCGGGCGUGGGAGACGGAUCGUUUACUUUGAAAAAAUCAGAGUGUUUCAAGCAGGCAGCUCGCUCUUGCAUGGAUUAGCAUGGGAUAAUGAAAUAGGACUCUGGUGCUAUUUUGUUGGUUUCGAACACCGGAGUAAUGAUUAACAGGGACAGUCAGGGGCACUCGUAUUCCGUCGAGAGAGGUGAAAUUCUCAGACCAAUGGAAGACGAACCACUGCGAAAGCAUUUGCCAGGGAUGUUUUCACUGAUCAAGAACGAAAGUA
rnacentral:rRNA from 1 species